CUACGGGACGCAGCAGUGAGGAAUAUUGCACAAUGGGGGGAACCCUGAUGCAGCAACGCCGCGUGGAGGAUGACGCAUUUCGGUGUGUAAACUCCUUUUAUAUGUCAAGAAAAUGACGGUAGCAUAUGAAUAAGCACCGGCUAACGUCCGUGCCAGCAGCCGCGGUAAUAAGGAGGGUGCAAGCGUUACUCGGAAUCACUGGGCGUAAAGGACGCGUAGGCGGGUUGGAAAGUCAGGUGUGAAAUCCUACAGCUUAACUGUAGAACUGCACUUGAAACUUCUAAUCUAGAGUAUGGGAGGGGGAGAUGGAAUUAGUGGUGUAGGGGUAAAAUCCGUAGAUAUCACUAGGAAUACCUAAAGCGAAGGCGAUCUCCUGGAACAUUACUGACGCUAAGGCGUGAAAGCGUGGGGAGCAAACAGGAUUAGAUACCCGAGUAGUC
rnacentral:rRNA from 1 species